GGAGAGGUGUCCGAGUGGUCUAAGGUGCACGAUUGGAAGUCGUGUGUGGUCAAAAGCUACCGGGGGUUCGAAUCCCCCCCUCUCCG
rnacentral:tRNA from 2 species